rnacentral:rRNA from 1 species
UACGUAGGGUGCAAGCGUUAAUCGGAAUUACUGGGCGUAAAGCGUGCGCAGGCGGUUUUGUAAGCCAGAUGUGAAAUCCCCGGGCUUAACCUGGGAAUGGCAUUUGGGACUGCAUCGCUGGAGUGCGGCAGAGGGGGAUGGAAUUCCGCGUGUAGCAGUGAAAUGCGUAGAUAUGCGGAGGAACACCGAUGGCGAAGGCAAUCCCCUGGGCCUGCACUGACGCUCAUGCACGAAAGCGUGGGGAGCAAACAGG